AGAUCACAGGGCUAUACUUCCAUCAUCUCCAUACUUGCUGGGAGAUUGAGUAAUUGGUGUCUGGAUGUGCGUGUGCUGCUUCCCAAAAUACCUCUUUAAAAAGACGUGAGAGGGAUGCGGAGCCAGUAGAAAUGACUGAUUUUGAAGAUUGAGAAUUAGGAAUAUUGUACAGAUGCUGUCAUUCCUACAUGAAGGAGGCAGAAGAAUGUAGCAAGCUCAGCUCUCUAAUGCCAGGAGUGGCACUUUCAGUGACCAGAGCUCCCUGGGUCCUCUGUGUAUCCCUCCCCUGUCAACUGAUUCAACAGAGGCUGGGCUGGUCCUGGCAUUAGCACAUUUUUGAAUCUGCCUUUGGCUGUGACUUCACCCAAAGACAGAAAGGGGAAGUUUCUGGUCUACAUAGCCAACAUGUGGUCUUGAUAAUAAAUCAUUGCUUGUUUGGAAGAA
rnacentral:lncRNA from 1 species